rnacentral:rRNA from 1 species
GCGUGUCUAAGGCAUGCAAGUCGAAUGCUAGCUUGCUAGCAUGGCAAACGGGAGAGUAACACAUUGGUAAUUUACCCUGAGGACGAGAAUAACCCGGAGAAAUUCGGAAUAAUACUCGAUAAUAGUGGGGGGUCAUAUGACAUUCCCACUUAAAGUUCCGGCGCCUCGGGAGAAGCCUAUGGACUAUCAGCUUGUUGGUGAGGUAAAAGCUCACCAAGGCUAUGACGGUUAGCGGGUGUGAGAGCAUGACCCGUCUCACUGGGACUGAGACACUGCCCAGACUCCUACGGGAGGCUGCAGUCAAGAAUCUUCCCCAAUGCGCGAAAGCGUGAGGGAGCGACGCCGCGUGUAUGAAGACGCCUUUCGGGGUGUAAAAUACUUUUAUUAGGGACGAAACAAUGACGGUACCUAAUGAAUAAGGGGCUGCUAACCUCGUGCCAGCAGCAGCGGUAAUACGAGGGCCCCAAGCGUUAUCCGGAUUUACUGGGCGUAAAGGGUCCGUAGGCGGUUUGUUACAUCUCCUGUUAAAUCAUCUGGCUUAACCAGGUGGCUGCGGGAGAUAUGGGCAAACUAGAGACCGGAAGAGGCAAGCGGAAUUGCUGGUGUAGGGGUUAAAUCCGUUAAUAUCAGCAGGAACACCAAAUGCGAAGGCAGCUUGCUAGGACGGUUCUGACGCUAAGGGACGAAAGCGUGGGGAGCGAAUGGGAUUAGAUACCCCAGUAGUCCACGCUGUAAACGAUGGAUGCUAAGCAUCGGGAGUGUCGACCCUCUCGGUGCUGCUUACCUAAGCUAACGCGUUAAGCAUCCCGCCUGGGGAGUACGGUCGCAAGACUAAAACUCAAAGGAAUAGACGGGGACCCGCACAAGCGGUGGAGCAUGUGGUUUAAUUCGACACUAAGCGAGGAACCUCACCCAGAUUUGACAUAUAGCUGCAAGGCCUAGAAAUAGGUCCGCCUUCGAGGGUGCUAUACAGGUGCUGCA